rnacentral:rRNA from 1 species
GAGGGGCUCGCGGCCUAUCAGCUAGUUGGCGGGGUAACGGCCCACCAAGGCUAUGACGGGUAGCUGGUCUGAGAGGACGACCAGUCACACGGGGACUGAGACACGGCCCCGACUCCUACGGGAGGCAGCAGUGGGGAAUUUUCCGCAAUGGGCGAAAGCCUGACGGAGUGACGCCGCGUGUGGGACGAAGGCCUUCGGGUCGUAAACCACUGUCAGUGGGAAAGAAGGGUGUCGGCGCUAAUACCGCCGGCACUUGACGGUACCUGCAGAGGAAGCCCCGGCCAACUCUGUGCCAGCAGCCGCGGUAAGACAGAGGGGGCAAGCGUUGCUCGGAAUUACUGGGCGUAAAGGGCGCGUAGGCGGGAUGGCAAGUCGGUCGUGAAAUCCUUCGGCUCAACCGAAGAACGUCGAUCGAUACUGCUGUUCUUGAGGAUUGCAGAGGGGACUGGAAUUCCCGGUGUAGCGGUGAAAUGUGUAGAGAUCGGGAGG